rnacentral:tRNA from 1 species
GCCCGGGUGGUUCAGUCAGUUGAGCGUCUGACUUCAGCUCAGGUCAUGAUCUCACAGCUUGUGAGUUCGAGCCCCACGUCGGGCU